rnacentral:tRNA from 1 species
CGGGGUGUAGCUCAGUUGGUAGAGCGCGCGGAUGGGGUCCGUGAGGUCGCAAGUUCGAAUCUUGUCACUCCGA